CAGAAUCUGGGGGAUCUGGAGCAGAAUGAGAGCUCUGUGACAAAGUCCACUUUGGCUUGCAGAAAAUGGACUGUUCUACAGUCAAAGAACUCAAGACGGUCUUUGUGGAGGGAGUGUGCAGAAGACUCAUUUGCUUUGGGAAUGAUGUGCUGCCUUCUAGCUGUGGGGUUUCCCCAGUGGUGAUGCAAAGCCAGAGCUGAAGAUGGAUGACUCAGGGUCCCUUCUAAUCCUGCAUCAGUGGGGACCCGGGGCUGAGAUCUCCAAGACUGCUUGGAUUGGGACUGGGCCUCUUCCACCCAGAUCCCCCAUUUUCCCAGUAGCUAGGUGGUCACACCCCAAAACUGCCUCCCCGACCUCUCCUCCCCCAAGCCAUGUAAUCCCAUCAAUGGCCAACAUCCAGAGACUAUAAUACCAAGCUCCUGGAAAACAUCUUAUACCCUAGUUCUCCCUCUGGGAGAACCUGGCAAGCUACUGAGAGUUUCCUGCCCGCAUGGGAGAGCCUGGCAAGCUCCCUGUGACGUAGUCAUAUGCCAAAACCAGUAACAAUGAUGAGUCUCAUUCCCCUGACCCUGAAAAAGCCUCCAAUGUGGCACUAUUGGGAAGGAUGAGUAAAGAGAGGCUUCUAAAAUCUCAGGGCUAGAAUGAAUGGAGACGUUAAUGAGACCACUUGAGAAAAUCAAUGAUCAAUGGGAUGAUGAUGAUGAUGAUGAUGAUGAUGAUGAUGAUGGAAAUAUUCAGAUUAAUGUUUGA